GAUGAACGCUAGCGGCAGGCUUAAUACAUGCAAGUCGAACGGUAACAGGUCUUCGGACGCUGACGAGUGGCGCACGGGUGAGGAACACGUACACAAUCUACCUUAUACUGGAGAAUAGCCCCGGGAAACUGGGAUUAAUACUCCAUAGUCUUUAAUGAUCACAUGAGAAAUAAAGUAAAGCUUCGGCGGUAUAAGAUGAGUGUGCGUCCCAUUAGAUUGUUGGUGAGGUAACGGCUCACCAAGUCGACGAUGGGUAGCUGGCGUGAGAGCGCGACCAGCCACACUGGCACUGAGACACGGGCCAGACUCCUACGGGAGGCGGCAGUAGGGGAAUAUUGGUCAAUGGACGAAAGUCUGAACCAGCCAUGCCGCGUGGAGGAUGACUGCCCUCUGGGUUGUAAACUCCUUUUAUAUGGGAAGAAACCUCUGGAUUCACUCCAGAGCUGACGGUAUCAUAUGAAUAAGCACCGGCUAACUCCGUG
rnacentral:rRNA from 1 species